GACGAACGCUGGCGGCGUGCUUAACACAUGCAAGUCGAGCGAAGCGGCGGUCGGGUGAGUAACACGUGAGUAACCUGCCUUAUACAUUGGGAUAGCCUCGGGAAACCGGGAUUAAUACCACAUGGUCUAAGAUGGACUCGCUUCCCAUUAGCUAGUUGGUGGGUAACGGCCCACCAAGGCGACGAUGGGUAGCCGGCCUGAGAGGGAAAACGGCCACAUAGGAACUGAGAAAAGGUCCAAACUCUACGGGGGGAGGCAGUGGGGGAUAUUGCACAAUGGGCGAAAGACUAAUGCGGCUACGCCGCGUGGGGGAUGAAGGCUUUAGAGUUGUAAACCUCUUUAGAUAUGGCUAACUAUAGGGUGGGUUGAGGGUAGGUGGAGAAGAAGCGCCGGCUAACUACGUGCCAGCAGCCGCGGUAAUAC
rnacentral:rRNA from 1 species